CAAUGAGCCACUCUGGCAGGGCUCUUUCUCUUUCUAGAAAUUCCAUGGAAAUCAUGGAGAAUGGCUCCAAGCAUCUGCUAUGUACUGCAAGCUCCUUAUGAAUCUGAGUCCUACUCAUCUUUGAAUUUCUGGAACCUGGAACAUAGUCUCUAAUCCCUGGGUGUCUCUGAAGGAACACCAUAGGAGAAGACCAGAGAACAAGACUUUACUUCAAGAAAAAAUGCUUGUGUAGUUGGCGGGGGCCUACCGGUUUAACAGCGUUUGUCCUAGGAAAGCCCUUUCCAAACCAACACGGACAUUUGUCUUGGCUGUGUGGAAACAGACUUUUUUGAUCCAAAUUUAAAGAAUGAAGCUGAUUAUUGUCUAUGAAUAGGAAUAACCAAAGGAAAUAUUUGACAUUUAUUAAAUGAUUUUUAAACCCGUGGUUGCUUUUUGACCAUGGGCCAAAAAUUUUUUGUAAUGUGAUAACUGCAUUAUUUCUCUAGUAAAAUAAUUUUGCUAAAGCC